UUCUUUCUCCUCUGCAUAUUUGGAGUCCGGUUGUGUCAGCGGACCCUGGCAUGAUCUACUGCGUAUAUGACUUUUCUACCCUAUGCCCUAGUAAGAAGGGUGUCAAGGGAGGCCUGGCUGUGGACACAGGGAACAUAUUGUUGCAGUGAUUUUGCUACAGUGAAAACCAGACUCCUUCUCUGAAACUAACUUUGCUACACAUGCAAAAAAAGAAGCCAUUCCCAUUAGUUUUUUCCUGGCCCACGGUAGAACCACAAGUAAGGCUUCUGUGGCAAAGGGGUGAUUUUUCUGGGUUGAGGGAAACUGGCUUACCUAUUGUUCUUGGCACAAAAAGAGGGGCACUCUUUGAGACAAGGGAGACAGAACAAAGUGGAAAGUUCACAAAGCAUAUUAAUCUUCCCAAACAAAGAAAUAGCAAAUUAUUUUCCCUUUAAAACUUUGCUUAUUUGUGUGUUUAGAAGUUGGGAUUACAGUUUAGGGAAAUCAUCACAGCCCUGAGCUGUCUUGUCACCUACUAUCAGUGUGCAUUUAAUGCUGUGUUGAAAAGUUGGCCACAAGAGUUCUGCUGUGGCUACUCGGUAAGAUGAUCGUCUUGAAGUUUUGCUUCUCCUGGAGAGGAUUCUCGCAUAGCUGAGGUAGGUAUGCGGGUUGUGGGAAAUGCACUAAUAAAUACCAUUUGAAAUCACAAUGGAUCUUGAAUUUGGGGCAACGCAGUGCCACACUUUGAAGCGAAUACCUUUCACUUGGAAACGGUUAAGCUUGCUUCAAGUUAGGGUCUCCAAGUCGCAGUCGAGUUGGCAAGGGAAGGUGAUCUCCGACGCGUGUGUUUCCCCCAGUUGCCUAUCAGAUACAAAUAUUGGAGAACACCUCACUCCUUCAGAAGCUUCGUAGAGACAUAAGCUAAUAACUUACUCCGGUUACACUCUGAGGUAAGAAUGGGUUGAGGCAAAGGCACCAAGCGGGGACUGUGCAUUCUUAGACCUGAUCGUUUCCCUUUGGACAAAACCCUGAGCUUGCAAGGCCCCGAAGUCUAGCACAUACUGUUUUAGUCUUUCUUGUGUGUCUCCGUUACUAGGCAGCCUAAAGAAAUGGAGCAGAGGUGGGACUGAAUACACACACUCAUUCUCCUGUCAGCACUGAGGACCCCCACCCCGGCAAGCUUGGUUGAGAAGACAGCCUACUUGCUAGAGGGGUCUAUUCCUAAACUCUACCGUCCUCAACUAGGGGCCGUAGCUAAUUCGACUAUCUAAAUCGAUGAGUCUCUACAACUCUGUUUUGGGACGAUCAACUAUAUGGAAAGGGUCCAGGAAACAGUCAAAGAAGCGCUAUCGGAGAAACUAUCAUGCUCACAGAGAGCUGCAAGAAAAGUACAGCAACUUCAAUAGUUACAAACAACCAAGUGUUUUCUAUAAAGCAAGCUAUGAAUCAUCUCCUUUAAUUCUCUCAGAGGUUUUAUAAGAAAGCCUCACGUGUGAAAUAAAUGCACUCAAAGACGCUUCACAAGUAGCACUUUGGAGCUUCAGAUGUGAAAUGGCUCAUUCCUCAAUCUGUAAUAGACCCUUCUGCGAAGCUCUUCAAUCAAACCCGCGAAGAAGUCACGGUUAAACUGGACGGAGACUGGUGCUCUCUACAGGGCGAUUCGAGUGAACUAGCUGGCUGAGAAAGGAACCUAGGGUGUUUGUCAUGUGCUUCCCCCCCUUAUCAUAGGAAAACUGUCAAUCACCAUGUGACUUUAUGUGCUCU